rnacentral:lncRNA from 1 species
GGGUCCAGUUCAGCCGCCCCAUAUGGUGCGCCUGGACCUUAUCCGCCACCACAGCCACCUGGCUACGGAUACCCGCCGCAGCCUGUACCGGCGGCUUAUGCUGGAUACCCACCGCACGCACCACCUCCACCAGGUUAUGGCUACCCACCUCCGCCUCCAGGUUAUGGUUACCCUCCACCAGGGGGAUAUGGGUACCCACCAGUGCAACAACAGCCACCAAAGAAGAAUAGCAAGUUUGGAAUGGGGUUGGGAGCUGGGUUGCUUGGAGGGGCGAUUGGUGGGUUGUUGAUUGGAGAUAUGGUCUCUGAUGCUGGGGCUUAUGAUGCUGGAUAUGAUGCUGGGUUUGAU